UCAACGGCACCACGAGGGUUAGACUGUCUCCUUUUUCAAAUCAGUGAAAUUAAUCUCCCCGUGAAGAAGCGGGGAUACUCAUAUAAGACNAGAAGACCCCAUGGAGCUUCAAACCCAACUACACCCCUAGCUCUUAUAGCCCCACAACCCCCCCCC
rnacentral:rRNA from 1 species